rnacentral:rRNA from 1 species
GACGAACGCUGGCGGCGUGCUUAACACAUGCAAGUCGAACGGUGAAGGGGUCUGCUUUUGUGGGCCCUGGAUGAGUGGCGAACGGGUGAGUAACACGUGAGUAACCUGCCCCCUUCUUCUGGAUAACCGCAUGAAAGUGUGGCUAAUACGGGAUAUUCUGGGUCUGUCGCAUGAUGGGUCUGGGAAAGAUUGCGCCUUUGGGUGUUUUUGGUGGGGGAUGGGCUCGCGGCCUAUCAGCUUGUUGGUGGGGUGAUGGCCUACCAAGGCGGUGACGGGUAGCCGGCCGGAGAGGGGGGACGGUGACACGGGGACUGGGACACGGGCCAGAGUCCUACGGGAGGGAGCAGUGGGGAAUGUUGCAGAGUGGGCGAAAGCCUGAUGCAGCGACGCCGGGUGAGGGAGGGAGGCCUUCGGGUUGUAAACCUCUUUGGCCAGUGAAGCAGGCCUGCUCCUUGUGGGUGGGUUGACGGUAGCUGGAUAAGAAGCGCCGGCUAACUACGUG